GUAUGCAAUAAGAAUCCUUCUCAAAUUCCAAUCUAGGCUAGUCUGAUCUUGGAAGCUAAGCAGAGUCGGGCCUGGUUAGUACUUGGAUGAGAGACCACCUAAGAAGACCAGGUGCUGUAGGCG
rnacentral:rRNA from 1 species